UCGUCCUUUCUCUACUCUGGGCGAUUGCGUUUAAGUUCACUAGAAUGAAAAUGAAAGCAGUGAUUGUUUUAAUGGCUCUAGUCAGUCCUCACUGUUUAGUUGCCAAAGUAUUGCAUGAACCAGUUACAUCUUGUGUACACAAAGGCGUGACUUAUGCCAUUGGUGAAAGUGUCCCCUAUGACAGCUGUAACACUUGUUAUUGUGGUCAGUAUGGUAUAAUGUGUACACUGCGUGCUUGCCCAGAACACUUGGGCGGAUGUUUGGUUCAUGGAAAGGUAAACAAAUGUUUUUGUUUUUAAACUUUGUGACAUGUAUUACUUGUAUU
rnacentral:sRNA from 1 species